GCGCCAGACUCCUACGGGAGGCAGCAGUGAGGAAUAUUGGUCAAUGGGCGGAAGCCUGAACCAGCCAAGUCGCGUGAGGGAAGAAGGCCCUGCGGGUCGCAGACCUCUUUGGACGGGGAGCAAGGCCGCCGACGUGUCGGCGGAAGGAGAGUACCCGUAGAACAAGCAUCGGCUAACUCCGUGCCAGCAGCCGCGGUAAUACGGAGGAUGCGAGCGUUAUCCGGAUUUAUUGGGUUUAAAGGGUGCGCAGGCGGCACGCCAAGCGGGCGGUCAAAUCGCGGGGCUCAACCCCGCCCAGCCGUCGGAACUGGCGGGCUAGAGUGGGCGAGAAGUGCGCGGAAUGCGUGGUGUAGCGGUGAAAUGCAUAGAUAUCACGCAGAACUCCGAUUGCGAAGGCAGCAUACCGGCGCCCGACUGACGCUGAGGCACGAAAGCGUGGGUAUCGAACAGGAUUAGAUACCCGUGUA
rnacentral:rRNA from 1 species